UUACACAUGUGUUCCCGCUGCCCCUGGUUUAUUGUUUGUGUUUCAGAGAAAGACCAGUAGAAGAGUGUGUGGAUGCUGCCUGCAUUCUGGCCCAGAGUCUGGACUCUGUCCUCUUCUAGAACAUUCUUCCUCUUCCUCCCCCUGUAGGCUCUCUUGCCUUCGCCAGCUUGUCAGGAUGCUGCCAGCUCCGGGCAUGGGGCUGUGUCUGCCCCAGCGUGGUGGAGAGCUGGAAUCUGAGCACUCGAGCUCGGGGACAGCUGCCCACCUUGAGCCCACAAGAGGAAGGAGCACGGGGAGGAGGUUAUGCUUGUGGGGGGUGCAGAACAAGGGAAAACAGAGAAGCCGGCUUGGAGCAUCUCUUGCGAUGUGCCCUCUGCAUUAUCACCCGCUGGCCCUGAUGCCAGCUGACAGACCUCAUCCAAACACUUGGCUGGGCUUUGGGGACUUCUUUUAACGCCUGCUAGUGAGUUUGCUGGCUUCCUGGAUGCUCAUUUCUGGUUCUGCACAAAAGAGCCACAUUUCCUUUUGGAACCGGGACCAGGAGACAGACAGCAACAGACAUUGGAAAUUGUUGUGAAGAUUUGAGACUGUGAAUGCAAAGGCGGGGCCCAUAGAACGUGCUGGAUAAAGGUCUCUGGGCCAGUCCCUGGAGCCCCGAAAUAAACGGGCAGAGGGGGCUGCCUGGCAUCGCGUCUUGGCCACCUACCAGCCGGACACCCCAGCACUCUAGCCGCCCUGCUGCCAGCAUGAGACGUGGCUGUGCCGGCCUGAGGAAGGACGAAGAACGCGCAGCCCGCUCGCCCGGUCAGCGCCUUGGAGCUCCUGCACAUGUUGGCCCGGUGGGAAGAUUGACCUUAUUUCCAUUCUCCUACUGAAAGUGACAAUGCAGCCAAGUGCCACUUCUGGGCCAGGGGGACGCUGUGAUCAGAUGAGAGACAGGUUCACGCCGCUGCAGUGACCCUCUGGAAAAGGAAGCAACCGGGCAUUUCCUCUGCACAUUGUCUUUCUGCAAAAUUACGAGUAAGGAAUAUUUGGACUGGAUUGAUUUUCCUUCCUUGCAUGCCAGCAAAAACUUGCUAAGUUUAAGAGAAAUGGAGAAAAAGUCUGCAUUAUUACAUUUUAAUGGGCAAUCAUGUUCAAGCAAACCAAAGUGCCUGAUGACUUCCCCAGUCCCACAUCUGCCCAGGGGCCAUAACCACCCACACACCUAGAGGCCUGAGCUGUUCCGGGUCGCCGACUUUAGGUAAGUUGACUCUCACGCAGUGGUUUUGUAGCCGGCCGCCCCUGGGGGCCCCCCCCUUCACUUGCUGCCGUGUCUCCCCGGACGGCUCCUCCUAAGGUUUGGCUUGGUUGUGACUUUCCGGGACA